rnacentral:rRNA from 1 species
UAUUGGAGCGGCCGAUAUCGGAUUAGCUAGUUGGUGGGGUAAAGGCCCACCAAGGCGACGAUCCGUAGCGGGUCUGAGAGGACGACCCGCCACACUGGAACUGAGACACGGUCCAGACUCCUACGGGAGGCAGCAGUGGGGAAUUUUGGACAAUGGGGGCAACCCUGAUCCAGCCAUGCCGCGUGAGUGAAGAAGGCCUUCGGGUUGUAAAGCUCUUUCGGCAGGAACGAAACGGC